UGUCUCCUUCUCUCUCUAGAAGGAUCGUAUUCUCCGGAGGUAAUGAGUGGCGUUUUUUUCUGACUGCGGAGUGGUGGCAGCGGGUUGAGACGCCGUCGCCGUCGCCGAGGAAGACAACCGAAAACAGUUACUUUCUUCUCUCUUUCCCAGCUUCCUUUUUCAGAACGUAGUAGCCACCACCAUCUAACCUCCACCGUGUACCAACUAAACUCACACAUCACAUGCAAGGGUUUCCCGAUUCUAUCUUAUCUCGAAAAAAGCCUUUUUUUUCUGAUUGCGUACCGUCUCCACAGUACAACCGCCUAGCCACCUUCCUUUUUUCCGUCUCCAGCGGUGGUGGUUGGCCAUCAUGGUCACCGCCGGAAGCUUGGUGGUCGUGCACUUCGAGUGAAAGCGGUUAGUUACAAACAUGGGUCAAAACUGUCUUCCUUUUUCCGUCUCCAUCAGUGUCAAAGCCGCUGAAGAUCUCACAGCCACUGCCAUCGUCGGAGACAACCAUUACCGCCGCCGCUAGUUUGCGUCGGUCAUCUCUACCAACAGCUCUUGCUUUGUACAUGUGCUUUCUGUUAAGGGACCAAAGUUGUAAACGCGGAGAAAGACCGGUGGCAUCCUUCUAACACUCUAAUAAAGUACUAUUGUACCGACAUUUAUGAAUUAGCCGAUACGUCGCCGGUGAAGGCUGAGAGGAGGAGAAACCCUAGAAUCGCAUACGCUUUCAUCCUCGUCUCCGUACGGACUUGUCAGAGACGGUCUUCGAAGCUCCUAGUGUCCGGUGAGUCGGUGGUGGGUGGGUCUUCAGGGGUUGAGUCUUCGGGGGUUGAAGGAGAGGGUUUGGAGCGGCUGCGCAUGACGGCGGAAGUGGGAAAGAGGCGGAAGACGGUGGUGGUCACGUUGAUGGUGACGCUGGAAGACAACGGCACAUACACCUUGCAAAGAUCAGUGAGAGCAGCAAUGGUCGCAGAGAUCAGGAAGAAAAGAGAUUGAGAGUUGUUUGUUGUUUUGUCUGCUGAGGGUCGAAA